UUAAGGAGAAUUUGGAAGGGGCAUAAGAAGCAGGAAUAUUGGUUGAUAUCUAACUCUUUAAUUUUCUACUGCAGACACGGGAAAGAAAGGAAUGAAGCUGAAAUCAAGAGAAUGGCAGAUUCCAGAAAGGAGAGAGAAAAAAAGAUAAAUGUUGGGGAAUUAAAAUGACACGAUAGGAGAGAAAGCAGGAGAAACUACCACAGAGUGAGGCAGCAAGACACAUUUCAAAGAAAAUUGGAUGCAGGAGUGUUGCUGUUAAGUUCAAUGGUGUUACAGGGCCAUGAGGUAUAUCUGGCUGGGUUAAGGGGAGGAAGCAAUGCCCUUGUCCAUACCUGAGUACAUUCUUAACAGGAUGACUGGUAGAUCUAGUUCAUAGACAUGAAAGACAUGUUCCAGCAUGCAGCUUUUAUUGGUCAAGAGUUAGCGAUGGCAGGAAAAGUGCUUGUAUGUGCUGCCAUGGCCUGAAAGAUUCUCCUCCCUUUCUUCCUAAAGUAAAAUUAACCUGAGGAAACAAAAUAUGCCUGACAUGUGAGAAAACUCUCUUUUUACUUACUGCUCAGAUGUUGUGACCCUGAAUUUUUACCAUUGUUCACCCCCAGUGAAUUCUAACGGUGACAGUCAACGAUACAUUCGUUGUGUCCCCUUCAAGUAUCUGUACUGAUGUCUUGGCAAUCUUGGCAUUUGAACUUUGCCAAUCAGGCAGAAAGGAGUGUCAGCUUGAAACGGCAGCAGAUGAAACGCGCACCCAUCUGUUCCUGUGACCUGGCUUUCCUUGCCCAGGCUGUCUCUUUGUCGUUCUCUCUCUAGAGAAAUGAUGCCAUUUCACUGGUAAAAAAAGACCAACUCUCCAGGCAAGCCACAGACUGUUAGCACAGGGUAGAAGUCUCAUCUGCAAAGUUCAGAGGAGAACCACAGGUGUGUUGGGCUCUGGGCUUGGAUUCAUACGGUGACCCAGACAAAAUCUGGCACAAUGCAACAGAAGAUGUUUUUAAGCUUGUUCUUCACUUAGAGAAAACUGAUUGAAAACUGCAUUAAGAGAUUAUUUGAUGCUUUCCAAACUAAAGUCUGUGGACUGAAAGAAACUUCACUAUGUAAAGUGAAUAGUGAAAUGCCUCAAGGGGACCGCUCACCUCGGUCUGCUGUGCCCUCACCAACACAUGACAUGCUAUCAUUAAGCAGCUACUGGGAAAAGGCCAGUGCUGAGACGCUGAAUACCGGAACGACUCCACCUCCAGGCCCACCUCUUCUGCCACUUCUCGUCGGACUGUCUCCUCCACAGUUUCACCUAGAAGCAACCAAAGGCCUGCAGUUGGUAUCCCACAGCUCUGCCCCAAGCCCUGCACGUCUGGGGCCACAGCGCUGACCAGAGACUGCCAUACCUAUGUCACAGAAACCUGACAGAGCGGUGUACAUCCCCGGAGGAAACGACGGCUGUCGUGCAAGGAGGCACCGGCUCCCAUCAGACACCAGGGUGAUGACCACUGGAGACAUCUAGCAAAGGCGUCAAAAAGCAAAGCAAGGCGUUAAGACCAAACAAGAAAACAUGCCAAGAGCUGUGUAUAUCUGAUGGAUGGAGCUGUUUAUGGAGUGUUCAAGCACCCAAACCCAAAGCUGAAUUUGCAAGUGAAUAGCCCUGAUCAGAAAGUGCACUUUGCCAAGACAGAUGUCAGAAUAAUGACAAAUACUUUUCAUGCCUUUAUAUCUGAGGAAGUACUGAAAACAUUAUUCUGGGCUGGAACCUAUGUGCCUCUAUUUAGCACAAAGAAUUUUACAAACAUAUACUGUUCUCCAUGCUCAAAGCAAUCCUGUGAGUUAAGCAAAGGCCUGGCCAUCCAGCUGCAUCUCUGAUAGCUUCCUGUAGCUUACUAAUUUGAACUUUGUCAGGCUGCGAGAGGAAGUGAGUCCGUAAGACUCUUCUGAUGCAGGAAAAGCAAACAGAAGGAGCAGGCAAGGAAGCUGCAAGCAGUGAGAACAAGCACUUGUGGUCUCUUGUACAAAGAACACUGCAA